rnacentral:rRNA from 2 species
GCUAAUACCGCAUACGACCUUCGGGUGAAAGCAGGGGACCUUCGGGCCUUGCGCGGAUAGAUGAGCCGAUGUCGGAUUAGCUAGUUGGCGGGGUAAAGGCCCACCAAGGCGACGAUCCGUAGCUGGUCUGAGAGGAUGAUCAGCCACACUGGAACUGAGACACGGUCCAGACUCCUACGGGAGGCAGCAGUGGGGAAUAUUGGACAAUGGGCGCAAGCCUGAUCCAGCCAUACCGCGUGGGUGAAGAAGGCCUUCGGGUUGUAAAGCCCUUUUGUUGG